GUUAUUGCAGAAAACAUCUGAAAUACGAGGUGAGAUUCUGUCACCCAGGCUCAAGGAAGAGUAAAUCUAAAGCAGAACAAGUAGGGGCGAAAAUUGCUGCAAUGAUUAAGGCCCGGGCAGCCUGUUUCAGCCAAAGGCAAGAACACGUGGUGCAUCCAGUUUUGCAAGAUAAAGAAAGAAUCAUAGAAUCAUAGAAUCACAAGGUUGGAAAGGACCUACAAGAUCACGUAGUCCAACCGUCCUCCCAUUACCAUUGGUACCACAAGCCACUAAACCACAUCUCGUAGCUCCUCAUCCAGAUGCCUCUUGAACACUGCCAGGGACAGCGACCCCACCACCUCCCUGGGCAACCCAUUCCAGUGCCUGGAGGCGAGGGGGGCUUGGGGAAAGAGAUGCAAGGGAAACCAAUAGUAGAGGCCAAUGUCAGCAUGAGAACAAGUGGAUGUACACAGGAACACACUGGACCGGCCCUCUGACAAGAGUGUUACGUGGAAGUGACUGCUGUCAGAGAUGAGAUAUCACUCCGGAUGGCUGAGGGUCAGAGCUGCUGUGAAUGACAUCCCACAGCGUAGGGGUGCAUUUCUAGUUCUUAUUUUGUGCCACUGCUCAGUGAGUAUGUUUACGUGUGGCUUACAUGUUUCAGAAGGACACCUCCAUCAGCAGCCAGGGGAAUUAAAAGUCAUUAUCUCAUGCAAUGGCGGGUAAAUUCUAGCAUGUAUCUUUAAAGAAACAAGUGGCCUGGACGAAGUGUUCAGAAACACAGAUGAUGGCUGCUUGUUCCAGAGAAGGAUUUACUUUUCAAAGUACUAUGAGUCCUCUGGUUUUAUAGGAGUAAAUACAAGAAAGCUCCUUGUUUGCGGCACAGUGCCUAUGUUCCAGGCUCGCAAAAUACACAGCAAAGUCACCAAUCCCUGUGGAAAGUGAAGGGAGAACAAGGCACACCCCCUGCCCUGUCACAGUGCUAUCACAUCACCUUCCACAAGAACAAAGGAAGGAGGAAGCAGAGAUAUUAAAAGAAACUGCAUAAACAGGAACAGAAUUCCUCUGCGCUGGAAGCAACCGUCUGGCCAGGAGGGCCCGCAGUGAGAUAGGAUCUUCAUUCCAGCACAGAGAAGUGGGAAGGGAGGGACAAACUCCAUGCCCUCACCUACCCGCAUACUCCACAUCGUUUCUAUAGCAGCACAACAGCAGACAUUUUUCCCUUUCCACAAGAAAG
ensembl:lncRNA